UUUGUUCAUGACUUGAGUUGGAAAGUUGAUUUAUUGAUUUUUAAAAUCCGCGUGACUAUAGUCUAGGCCCCGCCAAUGGGAUGAUACGUUGGCCCUGUCGACUUGUACUGAGGAACUAGUUCCGACACCGCGACCACCGGUGAUAGAAUAGUGGCGGCACAGGGGUGCAUUUUGCUCUUCGGAGCGGCUCAGUGGAGCGUGAGUUUGGCACCAGGGGGUGCGGCACAGUGGUGCGUUGGCUCAGUGGAGCGG
rnacentral:lncRNA from 1 species